GAUGAACGCUGGCGGCAUGCCUAAGACAUGCAAGUCGAACGAGACGGCCCACUGACCAAUGGAGUGCUUGCACAAAGUUGUGAUUUGGAUUUUCCGUCUAGUGGCAAACGGGUGAGUAACACGUGGGUUACCUACCUUCUAGUUGGGGAUAACAGUUGGAAACGAUUGCUAAUACCGAAUGUGCUCUACGGAGUAAAGGUGCUUUCAAGCACCGCUAGAAGAUGGGCCUGCGGCGUAUUAGCUUGUUGGUGGGGUAAUGGCCUACCAAGGCAACGAUACGUAGGGGGACUGAGAGGUUAACCCCCCACACUGGGACUGAGACACGGCCCAGACUCCUACGGGAGACAGCAGUUAGGAAUAUUCGUCAAUGGAGGAAACUCUGAACGAGCAAUGCCGCGUGAAUGAUGAAGGCCCUUUGGGUCGUAAAAUUCUUUUAUUUGGAAAGAACAGUUAGAAUAGGAAAUGAUUCUAACCUGACGGUACCAUUUGAAUAAGGACCGGCUAACUACGUGCCAGCCGCCGCCGUAACAC
rnacentral:rRNA from 1 species